UGGUAGGGUACCUGCAUACCACGUGUGAC
rnacentral:piRNA from 1 species